GGGUAAUUUUCCGCAAUGGGCGAAAGCCUGACGGAGCAAGACCGCGUGAGGGAGGAAGGCUCUUGGGUUGUAAACCUCUUUUCUUGGGGAAUAAAAAAAUGAAGGUACCCAAGGAAUCAGCAUCGGCUAACUCCGUGCCAGCAGCCGCGGUAAUACGGAGGAUGCAAGCGUUAUCCGGAAUUAUUGGGCGUAAAGCGUCCGCAGGUGGCACUUCAAGUCUGCUGUCAAAGACCGGGGCUUAACCCUGGAAAGGCAGUGGAAACUGAAGCGCUAGAGUGUCGUAGGGGUAGAGGGAAUUCCUGGUGUAGCGGUGAAAUGCGUAGAGAUCAGGAAGAACAUCGGUGGCGAAAGCGCUCUACUGGACGACAACUGACACUCAGGGACGAAAGCUAGGGGAGCGAAUGGGAUUAGAUACCCCAGUAGUCCUAGCCGUAAACGAUGGAUACUAGGUGUGGCUUGUAUCGACCCGAGCCGUGCCGUAGCUAACGCGUUAAGUAUCC
rnacentral:rRNA from 1 species